UACCUUGCCACAUGGCAAAACACAAAAAUUUAUUAACUGUAUUAGUAGACUUGAACAAUGUUCAAGGUUGAAGAUUCGGUUAUAUUAGCAUACAC
rnacentral:ncRNA from 1 species